AAUGAGGUGACCGAGAGGUUAAGGUGAUGGACUGCUAAUCCAUUAUGUUUUACACGCGUGGGUUCAAAUCCCAUCCUCGUUG